rnacentral:lncRNA from 1 species
CCUGGGUGCGUGCGCGCGGACACACACACCACAACAAGCCCAACUGGGACCACGAGGGGGCUGGCAGGACCAAUCCCCGCGGGAGAUCGGGGCCCACGCGUGUCCCCACUACGCCGCGGUCUGCGGUCCCCGCCCCCCGCACACACACGCCAGAGCGGUGUGUACACACAAACAGCUGGGCGGGGGAGGCGACGCCUCACUCCCCGGGGUGGGGACGCACGCGGCGCCGCCGGCCAUCCCUCCCCUUUACAUGCCGCACCGCCCUCCUUGCUCACACCUGCCCCCCAGCCCCCAAACUCAACGAAACCAAACAGCCAACGCCACCCAGAUGAGGGGCUCGGACCCCCGAUUGUCUUUUAUCGUCAAUGGAGAGAAAUACCCAGCUCAGACGCGCGGUCCCCGGGACGCCUUCUCCAGUCGCACCCAGGCUCCGGCACGCGGCCCUCAGGUUCCCCGGACCUCCGCCGCAGACCGAGCCACCGCCCCCUGCCCGCCCUCCCCCACGACCGCCGUCCGGGACAGUCACCUGCUCGUCAUCCUGAAGAACCCGAGCCAGAGCCCACCCCUGGCUGCUCGGGUCACUCGCCACCGCAAGCUAGCUUUUCAGAGCCUGUCAACUUAACCCCCAAUCCGCCGGGCGGACCUAUUCCCCAGGCCCAACUACACCGCGGCGACAGGAAUAAUAAAAAUGCCAACAGAAUCACCACCGCGGGGAAUGUCCAAAGCUGCAACCGCAAUAGAUGCACCGAUCCGGUUUCCUCCUCUGCUCCCAUCCCCCGCGCCCCCCGCGGCCCGCGGGCUCACCGGGGACGGAGGGAGGGUGCAGCCUGUCUAGACGACAGACAUCCCCGCGCCCGCGAGGACGGGCGCGCACACACACGGCCGCUGCCACAGACACAAUCAGUCACCAGAGGAGGGAGGGGCGGGGUGGAGACACUCUCUCGGGGUCCCUCCGGCAGCCGCGAGUGCAGCAGCCUCCGGCCGGGAGCCGCGCUCCCAACCUCAGCGGAGCGCAGUCAGAACAGCUGCAAGUUUGGCUGGAUGGCGGGCCCGGGAGAGCCGGGCGCUGCCGGGACGCCGGAGGUGCAGCCAGAGCAGCCGAGACAGCCCAGGGGAGUGACGCCGAAAGCAGCCGUCUUACGCUCCCUCCCCGCCAACCCCGGCGCGACCCUGGGUGGGGACCUCUGCAUUGGGAGAACCGGGGGCUUAGGUGCUGUCCAGGCUUUCAGGGAAACGUUUAGUUUUAGGGGCUGGGAGGCUUUAAGGAUGAGGACUUCCGAGCUUAAAGUGCAAAAUCUGUCCUAA